AGAAGAAACUGACUGGACUUUACUUUUGUGGGUGUGUGUGUCUUGUCUGUGUGUGUGUUUGAUGCUUUCUGAGUAUUUCUGUGCACCUGAGCAAUUAACUUUUUGGAUGAAAGCUUUGUGCCAGCUCCUGCGCUCCUGAGAAAUGUGGGCCAUUUGUCAUUUUUACAACUCAUUUUCACACCAAAACACUCCGCUAUGGUACUGGAUACAUCCUUGCUGCUGCCAUGUCCUUGACUUCUUGGUGACAGGCUAUGACUUGGAUGGCCGCGGGCAAACACAGAAAGAAGAGAGAUGGAGAAAAGAGGAGAUGGCCUAUCAAAGCCCAUCUGUGGAGUCCCCGCGUGACAGUUCUGGAUCAGGCCGACAGGCGGCGCUGCAAAACGGCAGAAAGGAGCUAAGCACACGUAGAGAGGCCCCAUCCAUGGCUCAGUUAUUCUGAGAGCAAAUACUUGUUCUGCUGUUUGAAUGAUCAGUGGGAGCUGUGAUGAACGAAUUCUUAUAAACAUUUUGCAAAUCUUAUUAGAGAAACUUCAGACGUAAUAAACAAAAAUGUUGUUUGAGGGACAUCUUUCUUU